rnacentral:rRNA from 1 species
GACGAACGCUGGCGGCGUGCUUAACACAUGCAAGUCGAACGAAGUGGCGAACGGGUGAGUAACGCGUAAUCAACCUGCCCUUCAGAGGGGGAUAACAGUGGGAAACGACUGCUAAUACCGCAUACUGAAUGAGGGGAUUGCGUCUGAUUAGCUAGUUGGAGGGGUAACGGCCCACCAAGGCGAUGCUCAGUAGCCGGGUCGAGAGGAUGAACGGCCACAUUGGGGCCGAGACACGGCCCAGACUCCUACGGGAGGCAGCCGGGGGGAAUCUUUCGCAAUGGACGAAAGUCUGACGGAGCAAAGCCGCGUGAGUGAUGACGGCCUUCGGGUUGUAAAGCUCUGUUAAGCGGGACGCGGUACCGGAAUAGAAAGCCACGGCUAACUACGUGCCAGCAGCCGCGGUAAUAC